rnacentral:rRNA from 1 species
UACGGAGGGUGCGAGCGUUGUCCGGAAUCAUUGGGCGUAAAGGGCGCGUAGGUGGCCCGGUCAGUUCGUGGUGAAAGCGCGGGGCUCAACCCUGCGUCGGCCAUGAAUACUGCCGCGGCUGGAGCACUGUAGAGGCAGGCGGAAUUCCGGGUGUAGCGGUGGAAUGCGUAGAGAUCCGGAAGAACACCGGUGGCGAAGGCGGCUCACUGGCCCGAUACUGACGCUGAGGCACGAAAGCGUGGGGAGCAAACAGGG